UGUGAUGGAAAAUGUGAGUAAAGAACAACCUUCCUUCAGAUUGUAGAAAAUAAUCCGAUUAUCCAAUCCAAUCUAAAAAUCUGGUGAAUUCGAUAACUGAUCUCUACCAGGAAGGAAAAUUAAUAAUCAGGGCUAUCAUAAAACCCUCAAGAACCAGACACAUGCAACAGAUGCCCAUCAAAUACCAGGGUUUCCAUCCUAAACCAGGAAUUUAAGAGUGAGGUUGGGAUGACAACCACAAUUCCAUUAAGUAAAGAGAUUAAUGGCUUGAUUUUACUCACUCUUUUUUGCCUAUCCUUAACAUUGGUUCUUUUCCUUUAUGAAUUCCUUUAUGCUUUUGUUGACACUUGCAAGGCCAAACAAAGAAAACAAACAAAUGAUCUGGACUGGAACUUCAUAUUUAUCCCAAAUGAUAAAGCAAAUAAAUACUCUGUGAUCCAUUCUUAAAACAUCCAUACUGAGCUACUUCAUUUUUCCAAGGAAAUAUAAAGACAAAUGCCAAUCAAGUGCUGGGCAAAUAAUGGGUAUUUAAGAAAGAUUCCUUGAGUAAAAUAAGAGACUUUACUCAUCACAAAAAAGAUUAAAUGUCAAGGUUCUUGCUCUUUUUUGCAAAGAAUGUUAUUGACUACACUUACAGGAAAUUAUGAAAUGCUGUCAAUGAGUUAGACACCUGCUGAUGAAUAUCAAGUGCAGCAAGCCUUAUUAAAGUUUAAUAAUUCAAAUGGGACGGCAAGAUGAUUCCAAGGCAACUGGACUGUGUUACAAUAAGCUUUGCUAAAUGCUGGUUAUUCUGCCCUUACCAGAGUGGUAAAGCUAAAGAGCUUGGGGAGUUGGCUCACAUUUUAUUUAGAACAUUUUUUUUCUUCAUCCCAUAGCAAGUCUCCUAUGACAAAGGCUGUGUGAAUCAUCAUUCUGUGACCUAGCUAAGUCUCUGGGGGAAAAAAAAAAAACAGCCAUACUGACUACCACCUAGCUAAGU